rnacentral:sRNA from 1 species
AUUCUUUUCUUCUUUUUAUUUUGU